rnacentral:lncRNA from 1 species
GCUGAAAUCAAGGUGUCCGCCAGGCUGGGCUUUAAUCUGGAGGCUCUGGCUGUGGAAAGCAUUGUAAUAGAAAUAUGAAGGAGAAGAAAAGAUAAAUUCCAUCCGAACACAUCUGGGAGAACUGGAAGAAGUGCUGUUUGAGCCAGGACUUGAAGUGGAGCCUACUUCCCCUCCCCUUGAAUAUGGACUUAGUGAUUCUCUCCUAAUGAAUAGAAUAUGGUGGAAGUGAUGCUGUAUGACUCGUGAGGCUAGGUCAUAAAAAGGAUAGCUUAUCCCUAAGCACUCUCUCGGAUCACUCACUUUGAGGGAAGCCAGCAACUACACUCAAACAGUCCUGGAAGAGGCACAUGUGGAGAGGAGCUGAGACCACCCACCAGCCAGCACCGGCUUUUGAGGGAACCACUUCGGAAGCAGAUCCUCAAGCCCAGGCAUGACUGCAACGUGCUGAGAAAUUCCAAGCCAGAACCACCAGCCAAGCGCCUCCUAAAUUCUUGACCUAUAGAAACGGAUAAUAAGAUAAUAAAUGUUUAUUGUUUUAACCAGUAA